ACGAACGCUGGCGGCAGGCCUAACACAUGCAAGUCGAGCGAGGACUUCGGUUCUAGCGGCGGACGGGUGAGUAACGCGUGGGAAUGUGCCCUUCUCUACGGAAUAGCCCUGGGAAACUGGGAGUAAUACCGUAUACGCCCUAUUGGGGAAAGAUUUAUCGGAAAAGGAUCAGCCCGCGUUGGAUUAGGUAGUUGGUGGGGUAAUGGCCUACCAAGCCGACGAUCCAUAGCUGGUUUGAGAGGAUGAUCAGCCACACUGGGACUGAGACACGGCCCAGACUCCUACGGGAAGCAGCAGUGGGGAAUCUUAGACAAUGGGGGCAACCCUGAUCUAGCCAUGCCGCGUGAGUGAUGAAGGCCUUAGGGUUGUAAAGCUCUUUCAGCUGGGAAGAUAAUGACGGUACCAGCAGAAGAAGCCCCGGCUAACUCCGUG
rnacentral:rRNA from 1 species